UACGUAGGGUGCAAGCGUUGUCCGGAAUUAUUGGGCGUAAAGAGCUCGUAGGCGGUUUGUCGCGUCUGCUGUGAAAACCCGAGGCUCAACCUCGGGCCUGCAGUGGGUACGGGCAGACUAGAGUGCGGUAGGGGAGAUUGGAAUUCCUGGUGUAGCGGUGGAAUGCGCAGGAUAUCAGGAGGAACACCAAUGGCGAAGGCAGAAUCUCUGGGCCGUAACUGACGCUGGAGGAGCGAAAGCA
rnacentral:rRNA from 1 species